GGGUCAGUUGCAGAUACGGCAAUCUGCGGCGGUCUGUAAAACCGCAGCCCUUAUCGGGCUUUGUGGGUUCGAAUCCCACCUGGCCCA
rnacentral:tRNA from 1 species